CAGCAAAUUCGGGAUGUUCUGGAUCCGCCAGAAACCCGGGCAGGGGCUGGAAUACGUCGCAGGGAUCUACAGCGGUGGCAGCACCUACUACGCAUCGUCGGUCAAGGGCCGGUUCACGAUCUCCAGGGACAACGGGCAGAGCUCAGUGACGCUGACCAUGAACAGCCUCAGGGACGAGGAUUCCGCCACCUAUUUCUGCGCCAAAGCUGCUGGUGCUGGUUGGGGUAGUGCUGAUGCUGCCUUUGGUGAUGCCGCCAGCCGUGGCCCCACCGUCACCUCGCUGUCCCCGCCUGUCCCCAAAGCCCAGAUCCUUCCCUCAGGCUUCGACUCCUCACUCAACUCUCGCCCCUUCCCCCCAAAUCAGCCCCAUUUUGCUGAUGCCAUGAAGAUUUUCGCCUUUUCUUUUAUACCCCUGUUAUACCUUUUUACAGCUCCUGUGUUCUCAGUGCUCUUUGCCUCCAUUCUUGGCCUUGUUUGUCAAGCUCUGAGACUCAACAUUUGCGAAGCUUCGUAGCCAGGGAUCAGUGUGCCCCAGAGCCCAAGGUGCUCUCCAGAACACACUCUGUAAACCAAGGUAGAACCAUCCAGGGGAAGGUUCCUUGGGGAAGGGGGGCUCACUCGAGCCUCUCAUUGGGGAAUCUUUGAUAGA